rnacentral:rRNA from 1 species
CGGCAGGCCUAACACAUGCAAGUCGAACGGUAACAGGGAAAAGCUUGCUUUUCCGCUGACGAGUGGCGCACGGGUGCGUAACGCGUAUACAAUCUGCCUUUAAGCGGGGAAUAGCCCAUGGAAACGUGGAUUAAUACCCCAUAGUAUGUAGACUUCACCUGGAGACUACAUUAAACAUUUAUGGCUUAAAGAUGAGUAUGCGUCCUAUUAGUUAGUUGGUAAGGUAACGGCUUACCAAGACCGCGAUAGGUAGGGGUCCUGAGAGGGAGAUCCCCCACACUGGUACUGAGACACGGACCAGACUCCUACGGGAGGCAGCAGUGAGGAAUAUUGGACAAUGGAGGCAACUCUGAUCCAGCCAUGCCGCGUGCAGGAAGACGGCCCUAUGGGUUGUAAACUGCUUUUAUACGGGAAGAACCACAUCUACGUGUAGAUGCUUGACGGUACCGUAUGAAUAAGGACCGGCUAACUCCGUGCCAGCAGCCGCGGUAAUACGGAGGGUCCAAGCGUUAUCCGGAAUCAUUGGGUUUAAAGGGUCCGUAGGCGGAAUAAUAAGUCAGUGGUGAAAGUCUGCAGCUUAACUGUAGAAUUGCCAUUGAUACUGUUGUUCUUGAAUUAGUAUGAAGUGGUUGGAAUGAGUAGUGUAGCGGUGAAAUGCAUAGAUAUUACUCAGAACACCUAUUGCGAAGGCAGAUCACUAAUACUAUAUUGACGCUGAGGGACGAAAGCGUAGGUAGCGAACAGGAUUAGAUACCCUGGUAGUCUACGCCGUAAACGAUGGUUACUAGCUGUCCGGCCUAAUUGAGGGCUGGGUGGUUAAGCGAAAGUGAUAAGUAACC